GACGAACGCUGGCGGCGUGCUUAACACAUGCAAGUCGAACGGAAAAGCCCUACUUUUAUCGUGUGCGCGAGUGGCGAACGGGUGAGUAACAGGUGAGUAACCUACCCUGUACUUUGGGAUAACUUCACGAAACUGGGGCUAAGACCGGAUAGGAGCUCUUGCUGCAUGAUUGGUGUUGGAAAGUGUCGGCGGGUGGGGAUGUACUGGCGGCUAAUCAGCUUGCUGGUGGGGUAGUGUCUUACCAAGACUUUGACGGGUAGCCGGCCUGAGAGGGUAACCGGCCACAUUAGGAUGGAGAUGCGAACCAGUCUCAUACGGGACGCAGCGGUGGAGAGUAUUACACAGUGGGAGGGAGCCAGCUGCAGUGACGCCGCGUGCGGGAUGCCGGGCUUCGGUUUGUAAACUGCUUUUGCUUGUGACGAGGAGUGAGUGACGGUAAUGGAUAAAAAAGCACCGGCUAACUACGUG
rnacentral:rRNA from 1 species